AAACACGAACUCGUGUGAUCUUCAAGUGAGUUUUCGCCGUACGAAAUUUGGAGAGUAGGACGAUAAAUAUUUCAUGUUGCGGAGUCGUCCUCAAAAUCUCGAAAAAUUCACACCUGGUUCUGGGAACCUUACAAACGAGAUCCACUUUCAGAUCUUCAUUCGUUUAUAAGACCCUAGGAAUAUUCGCUAUAUUUACACGAAUAUCCAUCUUGACUCUCAAUAUUCCCGAGAUUAAAUUGUAGGAUCUCCAAGCCGACUUCUUUCUUCCUUCGCAUCUCUGUACAAUAUUGCCAAUAAGUGAUCUAAUUUCGUCUGAUAAAAUCACGCUGGAUUCCGUUCGAAAGGCGGCUCGCGAUAGAUUCCCUUUUACAUACAUAUACAUAUAUGUGUCUGUCGUCGACUUAGCCGCUUGAUCAAUAUGUCUUGCGGGCGAGCAAGGCAGCGAAUGCCGAGGAUCGAUUUGCUCGCGCCGUGCCCGUCGACAAUUAACGAUCGGCUCGCGCCCGAAUCUCGACGUAACGCGCCUCGAAUUUCACGCUCUCGAUAUUAUGCUCGACAUACCGUCGAGUGAAAGCAGAUGAUUUAUACAAGUUUCUCAAGUUCUUUGGAUCUCCUGGAAUCAAGCGAUUUCGACGACGACGACGACGACGACAAAGGAUUACGGUGAACGACAACCCGUUACGUUGAAACACAACGGCGCCUCACGUUCAUCGAAUAAAGAACCUGAAGAUAUUUUCGUCGACCCUCGCCUCGAACCAAGUCAGCGGGGGAACGUAUGUCGAGGGUGCAACGCGUCGGUUUCUUCGAUAUUAUGGAACUACAAUCCACCCCUCGAUAAUAAAAGUUGGUGACGUCAUACCUCACGUUCGUACGCUCCGUGAAUGCAAUUCUUCAUUUCGAAAAUUUAAAAAAUACAAAUAGUACGUGUAAAAGGAAAUAAAGAAAAACAAUUAAAAAAUU